UUUAUAUGAGAGUUUGAUCCUGGCUCAGGAUGAACGCUGGCGGCGUGCCUAAUACAUGCAAGUCGAACGAGUUCUGAUUAUUGAAAGGUGCUUGCAUCUUGAUUUGAUUUUGAACGAGUGGCGGACGGGUGAGUAACACGUGGGUAACCUGCCCUUAAGUGGGGGAUAACAUUUGGAAACAGAUGCUAAUACCGCAUAAAUCCAAGAACCGCAUGGUUUCUUGGCUGAAAGAUGGCGUAAGCUAUCGCUUUUGGAUGGACCCGCGGCGUAUUAGCUAGUUGGUGAGGUAACGGCUCACCAAGGCAAUGAUACGUAGCC
rnacentral:rRNA from 2 species